AUGCAAUAACUGGGCUCAACUCUGAAUAUAUUUUAUCCACCAUAGAAGUUCUUUCAAAAUUGGAGACAAUCCUCUCAAACCUGCUACUGCUUUCUGCUUUAUCAACUAAGUUGAUGUUAUCUUCUAAAUCUUCUGUUGUCAUUUCAACAUUGUACAUGGCAUCGUCACCAGGACUAGAUACCCUCUCCAGAAAGCACUUUCUUUGCUCAUCCAUAAGAAGCAACUCCUUGUCCAUUCAGGUUUUACCUUGAGAUGGCAGCAUUCAGUCACAUCUUCAGACUCUACUUUUGAUUCUAAUUUUAUUGCUAUUUCCACCUCAUCUGCUGUGACUUUCUCCAGUGA
rnacentral:lncRNA from 10 species